ACACUUUUUGUCUUACAAUUUGUCCGUUGCUCUGAUGGACCAGUGAAUGACUGUCAUAAUUUCCAGACUAUAAUAAUGAAUUAUUAUGGCCAUAACUAGUUACACACAACGGCAUAGAUAUAUUACAACAGGCUAUGGUACUUAAAAGAUGAUUUAAUGGUACGACAAACACAAGUGGAAGUUACCAAUCACGUUCAGUGCUGGUCAAAUGGGAGUGAUGGGAGUUUUAUGUUUUAGUGCAUUGCUGACUGACAAUAGUUUUCAUUCUGCUGGAAAUAAUUCAACGAACGGUAUAUCAGUUGCUGGAACUGAUAAUUACAGUUAUGCUCGUCCAUAAAAAACUGCAUGACUUUUGGAAGGAUGUGUGUGGCAGGGAAAUUACAGCUUUUUGUCAUUUGUGAAUGUAUAUGAACAGUAAGAAAUGAUUGCGCGAUAUUUGGGCAAACAUUUAAAGCUAUUUUAAACGAUUUUGUAGAGAAAAUCGUUAGAUGAUUUAGGUAUAGAUCUACUCCGGUUCUAUAAAGAAAAUCUUUCAAAUUAACCUACUUCAAGGCCGGAAUAAGUUUUGUGAAUACAGUGCUAGUAUAUAUGUUCGCCCGAUUUUUGCUAAUGUAGUAUAUAUAUCUUUUAUUUCGAAUUGAAGUAUAUUAAAUAUA